UGAGAUAGCAUGAGCUCCUGAAUACUGUGGCCCCACAGGAGCUGCAGCCCCCUCCCCGCCACUCCAGGGGACUCUCCAAGGCCGGCAGACAUAUUGGUCCAAAUGAAUCAAGAGGACAAAGCCUCUUCCUGGAAUUUAGGGUUGCUGCUGCCCUGAACCCAAUGACUCAUUGCAGCAACAUCACUCCUUCCUGGCAGAGGAUGAGGUUGAAGCAGGUGUCCCACACUCAUAUGCCAAUCUGGAGCCUUCAUGUUGAUCCCCGAGGGCAGGCCUCAUCUUACAUCUGAUUUCAUGGAUUGACUGGAAAUCCAUGCUCUGACCAUAUGUCUUGAGUCACCUUCCAAGUUCUUUGAGAUGGCUCCUCAGCGUCUUGGCAGCAAAGUCAUAUCCUUUUUAAUCUUGUCACUUUUUGAAGCAAGGCACGGGGUCCUGAAC